CCCAUCCCCUGACCAUCAAACCACAUGCUCCUGACCGGGACGGAAUAAGCUGGUCUUCUCAGCAUUCAGAUGAGCUGAGCAAAGAACUCUGCAACUGAUCCAAAUCCUUUUCAAACAUGCAGAUGCCGUUUAUUUCAUCUAAGAGGCUAUAUAGCAUCGUGUGCCAAUCACGGGAGAUAACAGCCUGUUCACCUCUGCAAUGUAUGGUCAACAUCUGGAAACUGCGUUUCAUGGGAAGGACCUCAUUUCCAGAAGCUCAUUAAUCAAGAGACUGCAAAUGGCAAAGAGCUCCUAUGAGAAAACCUUGGAUUAUAUGCCCAGAGUAGGGGUAGAGGGCUCUACUCUAUUGGUCAACACUUGGCAUAGCACUAGGAAGUGAUGCCCCUUUGAGAUGACCGCAGUAAUGAACAACAGGCUAUGAACUUGCCAAAAACCCAAAAGACUACAGGAUGACGUGGUCUAGAGGACAGUGCGGUCGACACCAGAGAAGGGAGCGACCAGACAGAAGCCUGGAAAAGAAGGAGCCUGAAUCAGCAGAUAUGGCUCCAGGUUUUUACUUCGAAGGCACUCACUGCCUGUCCAGGCUUUUUCGUGACACAAAAGCAUGAGGUGAGGCUAGUUACACAUAUUCUCUCUGCUUUAUUAAGCCUGCAAAACUUAGUUAUAUUUGUAUUAUUAAGGACAGUUAAGAUAGUUAAGAACCAGUCUCAUACCUUGUAGCAUACCCAUUAUUAACAGAAACACUUGCAAACUAAGGUUA